UCUAAAUCUAGAAAUUACUGCAAUAUGCAUAAAAAUACGAAAGUAGGCAUGAAAUUCAACAUUUAAAUCUCUAAAAAUCUCAUAAUCUUACAAAUAACAAUAUUGGGUAUGAACCCUAAUUCAAAACUCAUGUAAACUCAUCUAAAAUUAUCUUCAAAAACUAAUUUUGGGGACAAGGAUGAAAGGAUUAUCCUUAUUGAAAACCCCACAUUCCUUAAUUGAUGCUUAGAUGAAGAAA
rnacentral:lncRNA from 1 species